AGGGCACCACCAGGAGUGGAGCCUGCGGCUUAAUUUGACUCAACACGGGGAAACUUACCCGGCCUGGACACUGGAAGGAUUGACAGAUUGAGAGCUCUUUCUUGAUUCAGUGGGUGGUGGCGCAUGGCCGUUCUUAGUUGGUGGAGCGAUUUGUCUGGUUAAUUCCGAUAACGAACGAGACUCUAGCCUAUUAAAUAGGCUCCCGGCUUUUAAACGCCGGGAGGACUUCUUAGAGGGACAGGUGGCGGUUCAGCCGCACGAAAGAGAGCAAUAACAGGUCUGUGAUGCCCUUUGUUGUCCGGGGCCGCACGCGCGCUACACUGAAGAGAUCAGCGUGCUUUAUGUUCCUGCUCCGACCGGAGUGGGGAACCCAGUGAACCUUCUUCGUGAUUGGGAUAGAAGAUUGUAAUUAUUCUUCUUGAACGAGGAAUUCCCAGUAAAUGCGAGUCAUAAGCUCGCGUUGAUUACGUCCCUGCCCUUUGUACACACCGCCCGUCGCUACUACCGAUUGAACGAUUU
rnacentral:rRNA from 1 species